UCUUCUUUUUCUUUUUUCUUUUUUUCUUAUUUUAAAAAAAAAAGUAUAAAAUUUUAUCUGAAUUAUAUAUUAUUUUGAAUCGACUAUUCCACCAAUUAAAAUUUUGAUUUCCCUGUCCACCUAUUUAUUUUUAUUUGAUUUCAGAAGUUAAUGGCACUCUGUCUUUAAAAUUUAAACUAGUUACUUAUAUUAAUAAAUUUAUAAUUGUGAAAAUUACGUAAAGUAUACAAACGAAAGCUGUCAAAAUAAAUGGCGCAUCUAAAUUUUGAAGUCAAAGUACUAUUGGCUGACCCAAAUCAAACUAAUUCAAAGAUUGGGUAAUAAAAUCAAAAUUUUGAAAUAUCAUGCAGCCGACUCAAAAUGAUUUAUAGUUCAGAUAUGUUCUGCGUGUUUCUCACCUUCAUUUAUUUUGAAGUCAAGUUUAAGUGG
rnacentral:lncRNA from 1 species